AUUGAACGCUGGCGGCAUGCUUUACACAUGCAAGUCGAACGGUAACGCGGGGGCAACCCUGGCGACGAGUGGCGAACGGGUGAGUAAUACAUCGGAACAUGUCCUCGGAGUGGGGGAUAGCUCGGCGAAAGCCGGAUUAAUACCGCAUACGCUCUGAGGAGGAAAGCGGGGGACUCGUAAGGGCCUCGCGCUGCAGGAGUGGCCGAU
rnacentral:rRNA from 1 species